CAUGAAAGAUAUAAUGUAGACCCAUGAAUUCUGGGGUCAAAGCAAUACAAUAUGUCACUAAGCCAAUAUGUUCUGGUAUCUUGAAGGGUCCCAUAAAGCGAGGACUUAGUUUUCUUCUCUUCCCAACUCACAUUUUCCCUUUGUACAGAAAGUCCUUGAAACCCACUGCAAAUUCUAAGUCUUUUCUACAAUUAUCAGCAUAGCUCUUUUAUUGGUUCUCAGUAGUGGUGCGGUU
rnacentral:lncRNA from 1 species